rnacentral:rRNA from 1 species
AAUAGCUCACUGGUCGAGUCGGCCUGCGCGGAAGAUGUAACGGGGCUAAACUAUGCACCGAAGCUGCGGCAGCGAUAUGUAAAUAUUGUUGGGUAGGGGAGCGUUCUGUAAGCCUGUGAAGGUGUACUGUGAGGUAUGCUGGAGGUAUCAGAAGUGCGAAUGCUGACAUAAGUAACGAUAAUGCGGGUGAAAAACCCGCACGCCGGAAGACCAAGGGUUCCUGUCCAACGUUAAUCGGGGCAGGGUGAGUCGACCCCUAAGGCGAGGCAGAAAUGCGUAGUCGAUGGGAAACGGGUUAAUAUUCCCGUACUGGUGAUAAUUGCGAUGGGGGGACGGAGAAGGCUAGGCUGGCCGGGCGACGGUUGUCCCGG